rnacentral:pre_miRNA from 2 species
UGGGUUCCUGGCAUGCUGAUUUGUGACUUAAGAUUAAAAUCACAUUGCCAGGGAUUACCAC